AGGCUAUGAAGCAAUUGGCUGUGUCGGCAUGCAGUCGAUUGUGAAGCCAGACCUUGGGUUAUGCGACAACCUCAAACCGAAUAGUUUCUUCGGAACUGAAAGAAAACGCUUUUA
rnacentral:sRNA from 12 species